UUCAAGUUUCCUCAAUUUAUUGUCAUUUUUUAUGUAACUUCUUUGCACAUCUUCUCAGUACAAUAAUAACAAAAAGUUAGUGAAUUUUUGUGUGUUUAAAGGAUCAUCAUUUAUUUUUAAACCAUGAAAAUGUCUUUAUUUUACAUAGUUAUGGUAUGCAUGGUAAGAGGUUCAAAAUGUGUUUAAUUGGAACAAGUUAGCAACAGUUGCUCUCCUCCACUGUCUCAAAAUGACCUUGGGUUGCUUGGUAACGUAUCUUCUGGAGGGCACUCAGAACCCCUGAUGUCAGAAAAUCUUGGACUGUGAAAAACCAAGCAGGCCCAGGGAGGGGGUAGAACAAGAGUAGGGGCGCCUGUCCCAGAAUUCAUGUGGUGAAUUGAGAAGCAUCUGCUUAAAAAAAAAAAAAAAAACACAGUUUGUUGCUGUAUGGAUUUUUUAAUUGGCUCAGAAAUACAAAGCUUUGGAUUUUGUAAUGGUUUGCCAGUUCACAGAGAACUUCCUGAAAUCAACCUCAGAAGCUAUAUUUGUGACAAUGCUGUGUUUUAAUCAGGAAAGAUUUUAAACUAGUAUACAAACAAAAAUUCAAAAAGUGUCUGAGCUUGUUGGAAAGGCUGAUAAUCAAAAGGGGACUAUAUCCAAGCGCGGAAGGAGACCUGCUCUCAGCUGCUCUCUGCUGCCCUCUGCUGCAUGCACGUGCAGCGACAGUGGAGAAGGAGUGUUACUACGCAGCUGAAGUGAGGAGCCGCAGCAACUCGUUCGACAAGUUACAGGAGUCUAUUGUUUGCUAACGAGGGGAUAAUUAGCGCAUGUACUGGUGGAUGUUAUCAGCGUGCGUCACUGACGAGCUACCACGCAAAAGAAGAAAUAUUGAUGUUCACUCGUACAUCCCACUUGUUGACCUAAUGUGAAUGGAUGUGAAGAGACAAAUAAAGAUGCAUUCAACGGUGGAAAUCGGA